CUCCCGGCACGGGGAGGUAGUGACGAAAAAUAACGAUACGGGACUCAUCCGAGGCCCCGUGAUCGGAAUGAGCACACUUUAAAUCCUUUAACGAGGAUCAAUUGGAGGGCAAGUCUGGUGCCAGCAGCCGCGGUAAUUCCAGCUCCAAUAGCGUAUAUUAAAGUUGCUGCGGUUAAAAAGCUCGUAGUCGAAAUUGUGUCCUCGGCCGCCGGUUCGUCGCUCGCGACGCCAACUGGCGCGCACGCUGGACGUCCAGCCGGUACUACGAACUCGCCUACGGGGUGCUCUUGACCGAGUGUCCAGGCGGGGGCCGGCAACGUUACUUUGAACAAAUUAAAGUGCUUAAAGCAGGCUAAAUUGCGCUCGCAUACACGCGCAUGGAAUAAUCGAAUAGGACCUCCGUUCUAUUUUGUUGGGUUUUUGUGGAACGACAGACGGAGGUAAUGAUCAAUGGGUGCGGAUGGGGGCAUUCGUAUUGCGACGUUAGAGGUGAAAUUCUUGGAUCGUCGCAAGACGGACUUAAGCGAAAGCAUUUGCCAAAAACGCUUUCAUCGAUCAAGAACGAAAGUUAGAGGUUCGAAGGCGAUCAGAUACCGCCCUAGUUCUAACCAUAAACUAUGCCAGCUAGCGAUCCGCCGAAGUUACAUUUAUGACUCGGCGGGCAGCUUCCGGGAAACCAAAGCUUUCGGGUUCCGGGGGAAGUAUGGUUGCAAAGCUGAAACUUAAAGGAAUUGACGGAAGGGCACCACCAGGAGUGGAGCCUGCGGCUUAAUUUGACUCAACACGGGAAACCUCACCAGGCCCGGACACCGGAAGGAUUGACAGAUUGAGAGCUCUUUCUUGAUUCGGUGGGUGGUGGUGCAUGGCCGU
rnacentral:rRNA from 1 species